GACGGCGACGUUGAUAGGCCGGGUGUGUAAGCGCAGCGAUGCGUUGAGCUAACCGGUACUAAUGAACCGUGAGGCUUAACCUUACAACGCCGAAG
rnacentral:rRNA from 1 species